GAACUGGGAAGGUGAAUAUUUAGGUUUUCCAACUUCUAUGGUGAAAAGCAACAAAAUUGAAGAAGAUUGGGAAUGUCUCUUAGUCAAUCAACUAAUAACUUUUACCACGGGGUAUUGGGCACGGCAUGACCACUGCAUUCUCUGAUGGAGUCUCACCUACCCUAAGACUUGUGGAUGUUUUGUGGUGUUUGUACAGAUUAGAAAUGAUUUAAAUGAACGAAUAUUUAACCUGGUUGCUUUAUCUUCUGGUAACUUCCUUGGUCUUCCAUUGUUGUAGUCAGCAUUGGAAUGACCUAGCCAAAUUACACAAAAUAUGAAGUCUUAACAGCCAGCGUUUGCCAAGGGAAAAUUACUCAUACAAUGGAGCCUAUUCAGCCUUUGUGAGAUUCAUUUAGAAGUUUAAAAACAAAAUGUUCUUUCUUCAGUAUUUUUUACUAUUCUAGAACUAGAGAAUAAGUGUCAUAUUGUGUCCAUAUGGGCAGAGGGUAAAGUGAGGGAAGGAGCCUGAUGCAUAAAUCCUCAGUAUUUAUUUUCAGUGGAUAGUCUAUUUGGUUAAGUAGCUGUGAUUAUCUCACACUUCUCUUCACAUGUUUUUAGUGCACGAGCAUAGCUGUGUCUCGGAAAUGGUUGGCUUUGGGCAGUUCAGGAGGAGGACUCCAUCUCAUUCAGAAAGAAGGCUGGAAGCACAGGCUUUUUCUUUCACACAGGGAAGGUGCAAUUUCUCAAGUCGCCUGUUGUUUACAUGAUGAUGAUUAUGUUGCUGUAGCUACCAGUCAAGGUCUUGUGGUUGUUUGGGAAUUAAAUCAAGAGCGUCGUGGGAAACCGGAACAAAUGUAUGUGUCUUCAGAACACAAAGGCCGAAGAGUCACAGCUCUCUGCUGGGAUACAGCUAUUCUUAGAGUUUUUGUAGGUGAUCAUGCUGGGAAGGUUUCUGCUAUCAAACUCAAUACUUCUAAACAAGCAAAGGUGAGAAGCAGUCCCAUUCUUUGUGUAUGUAGUGAGAUACAAGGUGUUGUCUUAUAAAACUUCCAAUUAAAGGAUGUGAUUUUAUCUACUGUAUUUCUUGGGAGACUAAUCCGGAGUCCAAACCUGGAGAUUUUGAGGAGACCUGUUUUUAUAUAGUACACACGGUGGCCUGUUAGCUCAAUACCGUUACAGAAUGGCUUUUGUGAACUAACUUCAGUACUUUGCACAUUAUCUAUUGCAGUCCUUCCUGAUUCACCUGCAUGGCUCAUUUAAAGCAUUCUUUAGUAUAAGGCU
rnacentral:lncRNA from 1 species